rnacentral:rRNA from 1 species
CUCAUUCAAAGAGUGCGUAAUAGCUCACUGGUCGAGUGAUCCUGCGCCGAAGAUUUCCGGGGCUAAAACUUACUACCGAAGCUACGGCAUCAGUAAUGAUGGGGAGGGGAGCUUCCCAUACGGGUUGAAGCAUGACCGUAAGGACAUGUGGACAGUAUGGGAGGGAGAAUGUUGGCAUGAGUAGCGAGAUGUGGGUGAGAAUCCCA